rnacentral:rRNA from 1 species
GGAUUCGCUAGUAAUCGCGCAUCAGCCACGGCGCGGUGAAUACGUUCCCGGGCCUUGUACACACCGCCCGUCAAGCCAUGGGAGCCGGGGGUACCUGAAGUGCGUAACCGCGAGGAGCGCCCUAGGGCAAAACUGGUGACUGGGGCUAAGUCGUAACAAGGUACC